rnacentral:rRNA from 1 species
GACGAACGCUGGCGGCGUGCUUAACACAUGCAAGUCGAACGGAAAGGCACGGACGUUGUGGGGUGCUCGAGUGGCGAACGGAUGAGUAACACAUGAGUAAUCUGCCCUUCACUCUGGGAUAACCACAGGAAACUGGGGCUAAUACCGGAUACGAGCUCUCGCAGCAUGGUGUGGGGUGGAAAGUUUCGGCGGUUGAGACUGGUCUGGCGGCUCAUAAGCUUGUGGUUGGGGUAGAGGCUUUCGAAGGCUGGGACGGGUAGCCGGCCUGCGAGGGUGACCGGCCACAUUGGGACUGAGGUACGGCCCAGAGUGCUACGGGAGGCAGCAGUGGGGAAUAUUGCACAAUGGGCGGAAGCCUGAUGCAGCGACGCCGCGUGGGGGAUGACGGCCUUCGGGUUGUAAACCGCUUUCUGCUGUUACGAAGCGUGAGUGACGGUACUGGGAUAAGAAGCACCGGCUAACUACGUG